rnacentral:rRNA from 1 species
UAGGGAAUCUUCGGCAAUGGCCGAAAGUCUGACCGAGCAACGCCGCGUGAGUGAAGAAGGUUUUCGGAUCGUAAAACUCUGUUGUUAGAGAAGAACGUUGUGUAGAGUGGAAAAUUACACAAGUGACGGUAUCUAACCAGAAAGGGACGGCUAACUACGCGCCAGCAGCCGCGGUAAUACGUAGGUCCCGAGCGUUGUCCGGAUUUAUUGGGCGUAAAGCGAGCGCAGGUGGUUUAAUAAGUCUGAUGUAAAAGGCAGUGGCUCAACCAUUGUGUGCAUUGGAAACUGUUAGACUUGAGUGCAGUAGAGGAGAGUGGAAUUCCAUGUGUAGCGGUGAAAUGCGUAGAUAUAUGGAGGAACACCGGUGGCGAAAGCGGCUCUCUGGACUGUAACUGACACUGAGGCUCGAAAGCGUGGGUAGCAAACAG